rnacentral:rRNA from 1 species
UACGAAGGGGGCUAGCGUUGCUCGGAAUCACUGGGCGUAAAGCGCACGUAGGCGGAUUGCUAAGUCAGGGGUGAAAUCCUGGAGCUCAACUCCAGAACUGCCUUUGAUACUGGCGACCUUGAGUCCGGGGAGAGGUGAGUGGAACUGCGAGUGUAGAGGUGAAAUUCGUAGAUAUUAGGAAGAAUACCGGUGGCGAAGGCGGCCCACUGGAUCGGUACUGACGCUGAGGUGCGAAAGCGUGGGGAGCAAAC